rnacentral:lncRNA from 1 species
CAUGUCAUGGGCGGGGCAGCGGGUAGGGCCUGCGCAGUAGCUGGAGAGGGGCUGGGAGCGGGAAGGCGGGAGUGGGUGUUACAGUUUGCCUCAAAGCCUAUUGUUAAUCUUGCCAGAAAGCCACCCAGACCUGGAGGCGGCGUGUCUGUGGAACGUGCCAGGCCUGCAGAGGCUGAGCUAGAGGAAGGGCCUGGAUAUUUGCUGGUCAGGAGUUUCCACUUUCCACUGCUACUAAGAUUUUUCACACCACUCAAGACCAAGGUGGCAAGAGUGGACAAAGAAUGAUGAGUCAAACAAACGAGAUGAUUUAGUUCAUAUUCAUGUGUCAUCAUUUUCUGAUCAAUUACUAGCAUCUCAGUACUUGUUAUUUUUAACAUUUUGGUAGAUACUUAUUCUCCUGCUUAAUCAUGCUCACAUAGUAACAAUUCAAAUGCAAACAAGUUUCAUGCUU